CAAGAAGGCCAAUGUCCGUGGUUCCUGGCCAAUGGGAGCUAUGGAGUCAGCAGUCAGGGCAGGGGCAAUGCACAAAGACCCCCUGGCUGCCUCUGCACCUAGGAGCUGGACAUGCUGGUCGCUUCCCGCUACACCGUCGACCGGACUUUUAGCGACCUAUUAAAAUCUCCCUGAGCUUUCAAUGGUCACCAGUAGAUCGAUGCCAAUUUCAUCAGACUCCUGGACAAUCCAGGAGGGUUGGCAACCCUACUUGACUGUCUAGAGUUUUAUUAAGGAGUCCUGAGAGAAGGGAAAACAGAGGCAAGAUGCCACAGAACCACUCCAGGUCAUGCGGGAGCACUUGUGAAGAGGCAGCCCUGCAACACACCAUAACAAGAUCACACACUACUUUGCUGCUGUGGUAUUGUAUGAAGGGGAUUUUGCAAUUCCAUGCUAAAGAAGGCAAAUGAUUAGUCACUAAAGAAUUCAUUAACCUGGCCAAACCUGACAAAGCCAACAACUCUGCUAACUACCCAAAUAAUUUCCAACUUUCCUUUUCUUAGCAAGAUCAUUUAAGAAGGUGGUACUAUCUCAGUUGUAGAAGUACUUGUCCUCUGCCAAUAUCCAGCAUCUCUUUCAGAACAGGACAUGGCAUAAAAAUUGCUCCUAGACUGCAGGUUCCACUUGUUUCUAUCAGACAGAUCAUAGUGUUUUCAUGGGCACCUGCUACUUGUCAUCCAUUCUACAUGAGACCACUUGGUGAGUUCUUGUGAUGCCUUGGACUUUAGUGAGAAUUGAGAAUGAUUAGGACCUUCCAGAAUUGGGCAUUUAGUUUGCACACAAACAAUGACAGUUCUACCUCCUGUUUCUACUUCUCCAACUUUUCUGCUAGCUUUUCCAUUAUCCUCAACUUCACCAACUUCAUAACAUAGGACUAUAUUUCAUAGGCUUCAGAAGUGUACUAUAGUUACCGACUUAAAAAUCUACACUGAACAACAUUUCCAUUAAAUGGAAGAAAUGGACUGCAUGCUUUCCUCCUGUAAUUUACACACUAAUUGAGGUGUAAAUCAAAUACACUCUUAAAAUAUUGUAUAAAAACAGAUACUUUUUCUUAUAUUACCUUUUCAGCUGCCAUUGUGAAGUACUUAAAAGCAGAAGCAUUACUCUGUGUCACUGCAACACUUCCUUCUAAAAACAUCUGAUCAACAUAAAGAAAAGGAGAUAUUUGCUCCUUAGAUAUGUGUUAUGAAUCCGUGCCUAUCCAGUUUCUCAUAAAAAAUAUAAACAGUAGGACAAAGUCUGCUCCUACUUCCACUUGUACAUCCCCAAUAAAGCCAAUGACAUUGUAUAGACAUAAUUGAGAACAGAACUUUGCCAGUUCUCUCCCACGCAUGAGUUUUUUCUGAUUGGUUUAAUGUUCUAAAUUUUUAUUGAUUUAUACUGAGUAUACACUAAUAGAAUCAUGUUAAUUACUUGUUUGUAACUUGUUUUCUUAAAAAAGCCUUUAGGUUAUUUGUAACAACUUCUGAGGCCAAGAUUUUCAAAAGCGACUGGUGAUUUUUGGGUGCCUCCUUUUUAGUGCCCAAACUGAGACAUUCUUAUUUGGAGAUGAAGUUCAGAAAGUGGUCAACACCCUCCUGUGGAAAUUAGGCCCUCAUGAGGCAUCUCAAAUUGGACACCCCAAAAUGGAGGCACCCAAAAUAAUGAUUCCCUUUGGAAAAUCUUGGCCGAGGUAGCUUGAGGAUAUAUUUUUCUCUACAAGUUUUAUCCUUUCAAUAGCUAGCUGAUGCUGAUUUCCUUCCAGGGUUUCUAUUAGAGCUGAAAUGUAAAUGGGGUUUUUUGUUCAUCAGCACUAUUAAGUUUCAGCAGAGUUCAGUGUAUAAACAGGGAGUGACAUUGGUUUUGUGAUGAACCAUUACUUUUAUAUAUUUUUUUAUUUUCACUUGGUGACAGAAUAGCAAAACUUUAUAAGUAUUCCACUAGAUACAAAUAUUAAAGUACUUUGGGCCCCAAACCUGGCCAAUAUGACAACAUCGCUUUAAAGUUCUAUUCCACUGUGUUAUUUUGAUCAUGAUAAGUAUUGUGGACCUAAGUCAGUCCUCUGUUCUACCUGUGGCAUCUCAUUGAACUCAAUGCAAGUGAAGACAGAGGUUGGCUCUGUAUCUUUACAUACAGAUAUAAAAUUAGUACUGGUUUGAAAUAAGUAAUUCACUUUAUGUAGCAUUUCAACAAACAUUUUCAACGGUGGCUUUGGUCAUAAAUGAAAUGUAUGUCUUUGGUCAUCUGUCUCUUUACUAGUAGGCAUUUCUUGUUGGCAUUACAGUAACUAACUCUAAUAUACCCUGUUCUACACUGAGUUAUUAGAUACCUGAUUUCUUAGGCCAGAUUCUACCGCCUCACUCUGGGAAGUGGAUGGGGAGGAGAAUGGAUAAUUUGCUACACCCCUUACCAGGUGUCAAAUAUUUGUCCACCCCCCAUAUGUUAGCUAAGUUCUGCUGAAUUUUGAUGCUGCCACCUCCUGUCCCUUCCUACCCACAUGCUGAUGGUAGGGAGUAGCAGUUGUGUGGAGCCUGCUCUGACCCCAGUAUCUUGAGCCAAGAUGUGGGGUGGCUGUAUGGGGAGGCAAGGGGAAGGUCCUAAUACCCUUGCACCCCUAGGUGGCUACUUUAGGUUUAGCCAUUAUCUAGUCCUUGAUUGUUGCAAUUUACCAAAUUAAUCUCAUGAAAAGUAAUACGUACCUUUCCCAGGAAUGCCAUACCAUGUGUAUUCCCUGCUUUUGCUGCCUUUAGGAAAUAGUAGAAAGCUUUCUGAAUAAAAAGCAAUAACAAAGUUACAAUUUUUCACCUGAAAAAGGUGUUUUUGUAAAUUUCAACCAAGACAAAUGUUUUGCACAGCUUUACACCUCCUCUUGAUUUAGACAGACCAGAAAAUGUCACAACGCAACACUGAAAAUAGCUUUACACAUUUAGGCUCUGAACCUACAAACGCUUACACACAAGUAUAAUUUUAUGCCCAUGUGUAGUCCCACUCAAUAGGACUAUUAAUGCAUGUUAGCCUUUGCAGAAUCAGGGCCUUAGUAUGACAAGUGAGCGGUGGCUGAAUCAAAGGUAAGAACAAAGCAUCUAGAUCCGUUACCUAAGAAGAGUCUGACCUUAGACAGGAACAGAUUGACAGUGUUGAGGCCACAUGAACAAAUUUUUACAAAUUCUUGUUAUAGUGUAUGUGACCAUAAGAAAAAAACUUUAGUGUUCCCCAUAAUGUGAAUUAGCUUUCAGAAAUAUCAUUUUAAUCUUUAAAAUACAUCCCCUCCCACAAUUAUCAAUGUCAGUUUUGUGUCGGAAAACACUCAGAUAAGCACAAAUUGUCAUCAGUAUAAGAACAUAAGAAUGGCCAUACUUGGUCAAACCAAAGGUCCAUCCACCCCAGUAUUCUGUCUGCCGACUGUGGCCAAUGCCAGGUGCCCCAGAGGGAGUGAACCUAACAGAUAAUCAUCAAGUGAUCUCUCUCCUGCCAUCCAUCUCCACCUUCUGACAAACAGAGGCUAGGGACACCAUUCCUUACCCAUCCUGGCUAAUAGCCACAAGUAUCACAUGCAAGUAUCACAUGCUUUUUAUAUGUACAUGAAUUACAGUAUAUGUCUUCUUACAGGGCCAGUCUUAGGCACAAGGAACUGCUUAGAUCUUUGGAUUUUUGAGGACCCUGAAAGCUGCACUGACCCAAGAACAAGAAAUAGAGCUGCCAAAUAUAUAAUUUACAAACCAAAAUCAUCUGGGAUAUCAAAUUUCCUCCAAGACUUCCAAAUGUGUAAUAAACAAGUGCCUAAAACAUAGAAACAAAAAAUUAUACAAGGAAUGAAGAAACAAAACCAGUAGUAUUUUUGAAACAGAGGACCCAAGAAAUUCACAAUUCAGCAUGAUACUCCCCCAUAUCCUCCAAGCAAGUUUGGUGUUGAAUUAUGCUGUUUAGCGUAUGGUCAGUGGCUAAUAAAUUUUACCAUCAGCCAUGAUUUAAUCAGGGAUGAGAACUCUGGCAUAGCAUUGAUAACUGAGAUAUGGCUGGAUGAAGCUUCACCAUGAGUAACUGGCCCAGCUGAUUUCUACGAGAUAUUUAGUUCAGCAUGAACUCUGAGAAGGGACUGUGAAGGAGUGGCUGUGAUUUUUUUAUAUCCAAUGUGAGACAUAGGAGGUUACUUGCUCUAAGGCCUUGAUUCAGUAAAGUACUUAAAUAUGUUCAUAGUUAUGCAUUUGUGUAAGUGUUGUGUGUGUUCAAUUGUGGAUUAAAACAGGAUCAAAUAGAAUAUGUCCAUCUAAUGUAUGAGUCACAGGAUGACAUAAGGAAGGACUUGGUGGUAGUUUACAGAUCUCCCUUCACCUAGUCCUUCCACAGUGCAGUGCUGGUGAUGAUUCUUUUGGACUGGUUUAUAGCCAUUAAUGUAAUCUGAUUACUAUAAGGUUGUCCCAGGUGUUUUCCAUUAGAUACCCUGGCCUUGGAAUCUCUUAAUCUAUAAAAUCAGUUCUAUGACUUAAUUCUCUCCUUAAAUAAAUAAAUGGAAGAGCUAUGGGACCUUAGCCAUUUACAGUGCUAGACUAUAGCACUGGUCCAAGACAGUAAAACAUCAUACUUUAAAUUGUAGCUAUAUUUUGCUCUGAUACCAUUUAUGGAUCCAUCAAUUAUUUUAAUAGGAUUUACAGGAUUCCACUGGAUUUAAGCACUAAUGCUAUUGUGAGCCAGUGCCUGCAGAACAGCACUUACUUAGAUUGAAUAUUGUGGUGAAAUUAUAAAUUAUUUAAUGUGUUUCAGAAUAUUUGGUUCUCUUUUGUAGAGCCUGUCACCAUGGAAAUUAGGCACUAAUGAAGGAAAUUCAACAAACAAAAGACAAUAAAAUGUUAACAUGAAUGGAUCUUGAAUUUCAUCCUGAUGAUCUCUAGAGUCUGGUUUUCCCAAGAGGAGCCAAAUUCAAAGGUGGAGGCUUUCAACUAACACUACUACUGCUGGCCCUUGGGGGGGGGGGAUUCUGUUCCUCACUCUUGCCCCUAUAUAUCACUAGUUCCUCUACAAAUUCCAGGAUAGAGGAAGCUCUGGUGGGAACUGAGCAAGAUGGGAAAGGGUGGGGGAACAGCACAUGCUGCUACAGCCAUUUUGGCUUGUACCACAAGCCAUUGCAGUAGUAGGGAGGCUGCUGUAAUUCUUAGUUGCUCCCAAGGUUUCCUGGGUUAUGCAAAGAGGGGCAUUUUGGCUCCCACAGAAGCCCUGAAUUCAGAGGGUGCAAACAUGGCUUAAAGUCAUGCUCACUUUGGGUUUUUCCUUCAGUAUUGCACCUGCAGGGAGCAA